AUGCGGUUUGUGGUAACUGGUUCCAGCAGCCCUAGGAAUCUAAUACACUGCCCAUGGAACAAAUCCUUUCUUGACCACCAAUGGCUGCAUGACUUAUCCUGAGAAGAUCAUGGGGAUUUUGGAUGCCAGGUCAACCCUUACACUCAGCAAGGAAGUGGAAGGGCCUCAGUUUCAAACACUUUGUAAACACAGAGGUUAUUUUGAGGAUCAAGUGAAACUUAGAAACAAUAACAACAAAAAAAGCAAAGUCUGUGAUCAAGAAGAAUUACUCUGUUGCAACAAUAUAAACUAAGAAAAAAAUACGCAAAAUUCUCUGCUGCCUUGGGAGAUGAUCUCAUGAUGUGUAUCAUUUACUUUUAAUAUUUUUAUUUAUUUAUUUUUGAGACGGAGUCUCGCUCUGUCGCCCAGGCUGGAGUGCAGUGGCGUGAUCUCGGCUCACUGCAACCUUCGCCUCCCGGGCUCAAGUGAUUCUCCUGCUUCAGCCUCCUGAGUAGCUGGGAUUAUAGGCAUGUGCCGCCAUGCCUGCCUAGUUUUUUAUUUUUAGUAGAGAUGGGGUUUCACCAUGUUGGUCAGGCUGCUCUCAAACUCCUGACCUUGUGAUCUGUGCGCCUCAGCCUCCCAAAGUGCUGGGAUUACUGGUGUGACCGACCGUGCCUGGCCAAUGUGUAUGAUUUAAUAGCCAGCAGCAACAGGCCACUAACAUGCCAUCUGCUAACAGGGGCUCUAGCUAUUAACAUCAACAGAGCUAAAAACUCUUAUGUCUGAUCCCUUGCAAAUGGCGAAGACCUGGCUGAGAAUUAUUAUCUCAUGCUUUCAGAGAAAACUUUGCUUGUCCUGCACUGAAAAAUCUGGCUGCAAUAAUCACAUGGAAGAAGGUAUGUUUGUUGGCAUGGUUCAUGGGCUGGCUUAUGACUUCUAAGCAGAAGAUACAAAAUAAUAUAAAAAUCCUGCAACAUGCACAAUGUAGCUGAUAUUCAUGUUCUCUUUAAAUAUCUUAACACUGACUUACAUAUUUAAGGGUGUGGAGUCUUUGAGCUUGGGAAGCAUCUUAUUACUGAGGUACAAAUGCUAAAAGAGGGACAUUUCUUCUAUCUACCGCAUUUUCAAUGAAAAGAUGCUGAAGGUGAAUAAACAGCUCUGCAAACCCAGUUUUGUUUAACUUGGCAACAGCAGUAAGUAAGUAUCACUGGACACAGAGACACUGGAAUAGAUUCAGUCUUUAGUCUUAUUCAUCACGUCUGACCUUGGGCAUAUUACAUGGUUUUCCUGAGCCUAUGAAAUCAUGCGGCUGAACGAGCUGAAAACUAAGAUUCUUUCCUUUGCUAAUAAAUUUCAGCAAACGAUAGGAGUAAGAACGGCUGUCUAACGAGACUACCAAAUGCUACGAGACGCAGCAAGCAAUGUCCCUUUACCUAAUGGAUACAGCUUCUUAACUGUUUAUCCAAAGUCUCCCCAAGCAAAUUCUAAAUUAUUCUAAAUUAUUUGAGUAACAAAGAUUGGGCCCUUAUACCUGUGACGUGUCUGGCAAUGACAAAGAAUGUGGAACAUGGGAAGCAUUUAAUACAUAUUUAUU
rnacentral:lncRNA from 10 species